GGAAACUAAAGGGAUUACACAAUAUUGACGACUGGUGCAGAAACUUUGGGAAAGAUUUCCAGAAAAGGUCUAAAAACUCUGCACUUAUGCUCAAGAGGACAGAUUCGGACAUGUUGUGGCCUUCUCUGAUCAGUCAGCAUCCCUCUGCAAAUUACAGAUCAAAUUAAAGAAAUACUGGACUGAGACACAACCAUGCAAUGUGACCACCAUCGUCGCCACGCGUUACUCAUCU